UUUGGAGGAUGGGGUCAGCCCUGAUCUAGCCAUCCCGCGUGUGCGUUGCAGGCCUUCGGGUUGUANAGCACUUUUGGCAGGGAAGANAAGGCUCUGGCUAAUACCUGGAGCUGCCGACGGUACCUGCAGAAUAAGCACCGGCUAACUACGUGCCAGCAGCCGCGGUAAUACGUAGGGUACAAGCGUUAAUCGGAAUUACUGGGCGUAACGCGUGCGCAGGCGGUUCGGCAAGAAGGAUGUGAAAUCCCCGGGCUUAACCUGGGAACUGCAUUCUUAACUGCCGGGAUAGAGUAUGGCAGAGGGGGGUAGAAUUCCGCGUGUAGCAGUGAAAUGCGUAGAGAUGCGGAGGAAUACCGAUGGCGAAGGCAGCCCCCUGGGAUAAUACUGACGCUCAUGCACGAAAGCGUGGGGAGCAAAC
rnacentral:rRNA from 1 species